rnacentral:lncRNA from 1 species
AGGGUACUCCGAAUACUAGAAAUUACAUGUAGUUUUUAUAUCUAUUAAUUUUUAUAGACGCUAUAUAUAGAAAUCAUAGUCUCAAUAUGUAGUUUUUACAAAACAAUGGUUUAUCCAAUCACAUGCAUUAUCUCUCCAUUAGCUACCAAUCAUAUCUCUUCAUGUUUUAGUUCUCGGGUAGACAUGGUUUCUAACUUGUUUCUAUGAUUUUUGCUCUCUUAAAUAACUACCUCGCUAUAUCAACAAAAUGCUUAGGUGGUAAUAUAAUUAAUGUUCAUAAAAAUCAUAGUGGCUUCUGCAUUAGAAGUGCCCUAAGUGUUUGCUUCCAGGAGCCAACAAUGUGUUUGGUUUCUCUAUUUUUUUUAGAUACAAUCGUCCAAUCUUUAUGUUUGGUUGGAGGCACAGUUUUAUCCUCAUAGCGAUGUUGUCUUUAAGAGCAUAUGGGGGAGUCUUUCUAGAAUUUACUCUUUAAAUCAUUAUUUAAGAGUUAUUGGAGUAAAAAAUGUUUUCUAUAUCUUUGUAUCCUUCAAUAACUUUUUUAUAUCUAGUGAGCAAUUUAGAGUCAUCUUCACUCUUUCUAUCUUUAACUAGCGAGAAAUUCAAAAUAUAAGAUGUCUAUAUUUGAAGACCAAUUUAAAAGUUUUGUUGCAUUUCUUUUAGGACGGAUGGGCCUGUUUUGCAGAGCUUGAACUUAGAUAUUUGUAUGCUGGAUUUGUAGUUUCCCGACUAAACUAAAGCAAUUUAAAUAUUAUAUCCAAUCCAAAUUAUAAACAAAAUGGGUCAUAUAAAUACGCAAGAUCCAUAAUUCCUUAGAGCUAGAGCUCUGCCAAACAAUUUUAAUCAACUUCUAGAGUUGUUCUAAAUCAAACUAUAUUAAAGCCAAAUUUAUAUAAAAGAGAAUCAAUAUUUAUUAUGUAUUAUCUAUACAUAAUAAAAUAUACUUAUAUUUCAUAGAUGUUGUAUUUUAAGAUAGUUUUAUUACUUGGGUUGAUUCAAAGGCACCCGCAACUGUAAGAACUAGUUACUAGUUCUAAGCCAACAUCUUCAAUAGUAUUAACGGUUAGCAAUGACUUUACUAUGAUUAGGCCUAUAUAACACUCUCACAAAAAUUUAUAAUGUGUGUAAGAGUUUAGCUCUUGAUUAAAAGCUAGUUUUUUUCUCUCUUGUAUUAAAAAUAAAAAAUGCUUAGAGCUAGCCCACAAAUUGAUUCUUGGAGCUGUCCUAAGGGAUUGAUUUGUUGGCUCUAUUCGCACUACUUCAAUAAUUUUGUUAGUGAACAAAUAAUAUUUCUUUCUUACAAUAAAUUAGUAUCAACGUAACCUAAAUUUGAAAUGAUCAGGGCAUAUUUAUUUUAAAAAAUAAUAAUCAAGGCAUGAAGUAUUCCUAUAGCUUGUUCGUUUAUCUAAAAAGCUAUGACUGUACUGCUGGCUUAAAAAAAAGUACAGCUUAUAAAAAAUGAGCCGUAUGUAUACAUAUAUUAAAUUAUUCUGAUCCUGACAUCCUCUGAAGCCACACGUGCAGUUUUUUAAAAUUAUAAACUACUCUAAUCCAACUCUUAAUCAAAUCAUGUGCGUCCUUGGAGAUUAGGCUGAUCUGACGAAGGCACAACCGCACAAGCCACAGGUAUCCUAGCCUUGUAGGGCACUGAUUUCGCCGUAGGCCUCUUCUGGCGCCUGUCCUCGGGCCCACCGGGCGUCCCCUCCGAGCUUCGAUGUCCCCAGCAAUUCGCUGGCUGGGCCCGGUGCACCGUGCAUUUCCAACAGUUCCUGGCUGUUGUUGACCACCCGUGGACCCCUACACCCACCUCUGUUGUAGACGCGGUGUAUUUGCAGAGCUGGACCGAAGGCCUGCUGGGCUAGCGUGUUUUGCAGGGAGCCCCUCACAGGUGUUUGGAUUUCAGCACUACGGAUCCUUUGCUACUUAGGCAUUGUUUAGUUCCAAAAAAUUUUGCAAAACUUUUCAGAUUCCUCGUCACAUCGAAUCUUUAGACGUAUGCAUGAAGUAUUAAAUAUAGAUAAAAAUAAAAACUAAUUACACAGUUUGGUCGGAAUUGACGAGAUGAAUCUUUUGAGCCUAGUUAGUCUAUAAUUAGACAAUAUUUGUCAAAUACAAACGAAAGUGCUACUAUUUAUAUUUUGUAAAAUAUUUUGGAAGUAAAGAAGGCCUAGCCGUUCCACGAAUCCCAAGCUCGAUUCCAAGGCCUUGUUUAGUUUUUAAAAUUGUUUGGAUCGUAGUAUUUUUGUUUUUACUAGGUUGAUGCCCGUACGUUGUUACGGGUUUUAAAAUCCACAUACUUUAUGUUUCUUCAUUGUUAUUUUAUUUUUUCUGUCUAUAUUUUUCUUUUUUCAUUUUUUUAGUUUUUGUUUUUCGAUUUUAUUUUAUUUUCUGUCAUUUUCUUAUUCUUUUCUUGUUUUAAUUUUACCUUUUAUUUUCUUUUUGUUUUGGUUUUAUUUUUAUUGUUCUUCCUUGCUUCUAUUUGUUUUUCUUUUUUCUUUUCAGAUUUUCUAUGUUUCUUCAUUCUUAUUUUAUAUUUUAUUUCCUUUUAAUCUUAUUUUUAUCUUUAUUUAAAUUAUUCAUUAAUUUUAUUUGCUCUAUGCACUUUUUAUCAUUUGUUAAUCAUGUUUGUUUUUAUAUUUUUUUCAUAGUAAUUUUAUUUUUUAUUUUUAUUUUCUAUAUAUAUGUGAUAUUUAUGUAGUAUAUAUUUAGUGUUCUAUAUUGUGUUAUGUCAUGUUUACGUAAUAUAUAUGUGAUGUUCUAUGAUGUUUCUUACGGGAGUUGUGGCUUCACCAUGGGUGUGGUAGAUGGGUCCUUUUCAUAAUUUUUAGUUGUAGAGAUUUAUUGAUGUUAAUGUUCUAUAAAUAUAUUUACGAUAUUUAAAAAGUAACCCUUUGACAUUAUUUGAAUUUUUUCUCCAUUUUGUGUUUUUAUUUUUUUAUGCUUUUUACUCUAGAUUUUUUUUAUUAUUUUUAUCUAUGUCAUCUAUUUAUGUAAUUUUUAUGUAUAUUGUAAUAUCAGUUUCAUAAACCUAAAACCAAAAUACUAUUCUUCUAAAUCGAUAACAUUUUUUUACAAAGACAAAACAUUGUCUGUUGAACCUAGAAUAUUGUUUCUACUUAAUAAAAGAAAAUAUUUUAUCUUUAUAAGAUAAAUAUUCAUUAAUAAAAUUUUAUCUAAAUAUAUCCAUGUGUGAUCUUGUUUUGAAGGAUUUGUUAUAAGAAAUUUAAUGGUGCAAUCAAAAUUUAAUUUAUAUCUCUAGUUUAGGAGUUAUGACUUUUUUUAAUUCGCUAAAACAAUUUUGCAUAAAUAGGUGAGUGGGGCCUAGGUUGAUGGGAUAGCGUGUCAUCGCGCAGUAAAAAAGACCACCAAUGGGAUGAAAGUUGUGGAUGGGUCCUCUCCAUAAUUUUUAGUUGUAGAGAUAAAUAUUAAUUAAUAAAAUUUUAUCUAAAUAUAUCCAUGUGCGAUCUUGUUUUGAAGAAUUUGUUAUGAGAAAUUUAAUAGUGCAAUCGGAAUUUAAUUUAUAUCUUCGGUUUAAAAGUUAUGACUUUUUUAAAUUCGCCAAAACAAUUUUGUAUGCAUGGGUGAGUGGGGUCUAGGUUGAUGGGAUAGUCUAUCAUGGCUAAAAGGAAUGGGAGUUGUGGCUUCACCAUGGGUGUGGUAGAUGGGUCCUUUUCAUAAUUUUUAGUUGUAGAGAUUUGAUAAAUAUUGUCCAAUUAUGAGCUAAUUAAGCUUAAAAAAUUCAUCUCGUGAUUCACAGAUAAACUGUGCAAUUAUUUUUUUUGUUUUCGUCUAUAUUUAAUGCUUCAUGCAUAUGCUACAAGAUUCAAUGUGACGGAGAAUCUUGAAAUUUUUUUAAUUUUUGAGUAAACUCAACAAGGCCUAAAAUAAUCUAAGGACGUUUAGGUGGGAUUCUCGGUUAUUUUUGUCUAUAUCUAAUUUUAAGCGAUCCUAAACACAUUAAGCAUCUCCAACAACUCGUCAAAUGAGGUUCCUAUUCUUAUUAAUUUGAUAAAAACACAAAAAAACUCUCUCCAACAACUCCUUAAACCAACUUGGUAUUUAUUCCAACGUGCUAUUCCCCGUCCUCGCGCGUGUACUUGAGUUGCUAUCGCUGCGACGCACGCCCGCGUACGCUCGCUAGCGGCCUCGCCCGCGCCUCCGCCUCCGCCCC